rnacentral:rRNA from 1 species
GACGUAGGGCGCGAGCGUUGUCCGGAUUUAUUGGGCGUAAAGAGCUCGUAGGCGGUUUUGUCGCGUCGUUCGUGAAAAACUCACAGCUUAACUGUGAGCUUGCGGUCGAUACGGGCAGGCUAGAGUUCGGUAGGGGGAGACUGGAAUUCCUGGUGUAGCGGUGAAAAUGCGCAGAUAUCAGGAGGAACACCGGUGGCGAAGGCGGGUCUCUGGGCCGAUACUGACGCUGAGGAGCGAAAGCGUGGGGGAGCGAACAGG